rnacentral:tRNA from 1 species
GCCUGGAUGGCUCAGUCGGUUAAGCGUCUGACUUUGGCUCAGGUCAUGAUCUCGCGGUCUGUGAGUUCGAGCCCCGCGUCGGGCU